rnacentral:rRNA from 1 species
UACGUAGGGUGCGAGCGUUAAUCGGAAUUACUGGGCGUAAAGCGUGCGCAGGCGGUGAGCUGUGUCCGAUGUGAAAGCCCCGGGCUUAACCUGGGAAUUGUGAUGAAGACUGCAAGGCUUGAAUCUGGCAGAGGGGGGUAGAAUUCCACGUGUAGCAGUGAAAUGCGUAGAGAUGUGGAGGAACACCGAUGGCGAAGGCAGCCCCCUGGGUCAAGAUUGACGCUCAUGCACGAAAGCGUGGGGAGCAAACAGG